AACGAACGCUGGCGGCAGGCCUAACACAUGCAAGUCGAACGAGAAGCCAGAGCUUGCUCUGGUGGAAAGUGGCAGACGGGUGAGUAACGCGUGGGAACCUACCCAGGGGUUCGGAAUAACUCAGGGAAACUUGAGCUAAUACCGGAUACGCCUUGCGAGGGAAAGAUUUAUCGCCCUUGGACGGGCCCGCGUCGGAUUAGUUUGUUGGUGGGUAACGGCCUACCAAGACUACGAUCCGUAGCUGGUCUGAGAGGAUGAUCAGCCACACUGGGACUGAGACACGGCCCAGACUCCUACGGGAGGCAGCAGUGGGGAAUCUUGCACAAUGGGCGCAAGCCUGAUGCAGCCAUGCCGCGUGAGUGAAGAAGGCCCUAGGGUUGUAAACUCUUUCAGCGGGGAAGAUAAUGACGGUACCCGCAGAAGAAGCCCCGGCUAACUCCGUG
rnacentral:rRNA from 1 species